AAAUUUCAACCAAGUUAUAAUUUAAUCCUAAUAUAAAUCCUAAUAGACUUCAAUCAAAUCCUAAAUAAAUCCUAAAUCCUAAACCAAAUCUUAGACAAAUCUUAAACUCUAAAUCAAAUCCUAGAUAAAUCCUAAAUUCUAAAUUCAAUCCUAAUCAAAUCCUAAAUUUUAAACCAAAUCUUAAAUAAAUCCUAAAUCUUAAAUAAAAUCCUAAUUAAAUCCUAGAUAAAUUCUAAAUACUAAUCAAAUACUAGAUAAAUUCUAAAUCCAAAUCAAAUACUAGCCAAAUCCUAAAUUCUAAAUCAAAUCCUAAUCAAAUCCUAAAUAAAUCUCAAAUCCUAAUCAAAUCCUAACCAAAGCCUAAACUCUAAAUCAAAUCCUAACAAAAUCCUAAAUCCUAAAUCAAAUCCUAACCAAAUCCUAAAUUCUAAAUCAAAUCUUAACUAAAAUCUAAAUCCUAAAUCAAAUCUUAACUAAAUCCUAAAUCUUAUACCAAACCUUAUACCAUAUCUUAACCAAAUAUUAAAUCCCAAACAAAACCUUAAAUCAUAUUUUAACCAAAUCCUAAAGCCUAAACUAAAUCUUAAAUCCUAAAUCAAAUCCUAAUCAAAUCUUAAUCAAAUUCUAAAUCUUAAAUUAAAUCUUAAGGUAGUUUAGAAUCUCAAUAUCUUUUGAUUAAAUCAUUGAUCUUAUUUAAAAUUUU
rnacentral:lncRNA from 1 species